UACGAAGGGUGCAAGCGUUACUCGGAAUUACUGGGCGUAAAGCGUGCGUAGGUGGUUCGUUAAGUCUGAUGUGAAAGCCCUGGGCUCAACCUGGGAAUGGCAUUGGAAAAUGGCGAUCUAGAGUGCGGUAGAGGGUAGUGGAAUUCCCGGUGUAGCAGUGAAAUGCGUAGAGAUCGGGAGGAACAUCUGUGGCGAAGGCGACUGCCUGGACCAGCACUGACACUGAGGCACGAAAGCGUGGGGAGCAAACAGG
rnacentral:rRNA from 1 species